AAAGUACGACCCAGUACAAUACCACUCAGUGGUGUCUGAGGAGGGUAGUGUGUACGCAGCCUUACCCCUACCCUGGGGUAGAGAGGCUGUUUCCAAAUACAUAUCAAUUUCAGCAAAUUACAGUGACCUUUUCAAACACUGUACCAUUUUUACAAUUGUUUGUCUAUAGUAAGACUGAGGGAACGAACGUACAUACCUCAAAAAAACGAAGAAGAACUCAACAGAACAGCAGCACAACAACGAAAAUCAGCAUACAAAAGCCAUUAACUCUACUUCCACAGCUUGACAGACCAGAGAAAGAAGAGGUUGAGAAUUGAAACCAAUUUUUUCAAGUUCCCUUUGGAAAAUU
rnacentral:lncRNA from 1 species